AGAGUUUGAUCCUGGCUCAGAACGAACGCUGGCGGCGUGGAUAAGACAUGCAAGUCGAACGGGAUAUUUACUGUAGCAAUACAGUAAAUGUUCAGUGGCGAAAGGGUGCGUAACACGUGGGUAAUUUGCCGUGAAGUUGGGGAUAACUUGCUGAAAGGCGAGCUAAUACCGGAUGUGAUCUUUGGGGGGCAUCUCCUGGAGAUUAAAGUUGGGGACCGUAAGGCCUGACGCUUCACGAUAAGCCCGCGGCCUAUCAGCUAGUUGGUGAGGUAACGGCUCACCAAGGCUAAGACGGGUAGCUGGUCUGAGAGGACGACCAGCCACACUGGAACUGAGACACGGUCCAGACACCUACGGGUGGCAGCAGUCGAGAAUUUUUCUCAAUGGGGGAAACCCUGAAGGAGCGACGCCGCGUGAGGGAUGAAGGGCUUCGGCCUGUAAACCUCUGUCAUUUGCGAACAAACCUUACGACCUAACACGUCGUGAGCUGAUUGUAGCGAAAGAGGAAGGGACGGCUAACUCUGUGCCAGCAGCCGCGGUAAUACAGAGGUCCCAAGCGUUGUUCGGAUUCACUGGGCGUAAAGGGUGCGUAGGUUGUGGGGUAAGUCUGAUGUGAAAGCUCUGAGCUCAACUCAGAAAUGGCAUUGGAAACUACCUCGCUAGAGGAUUGGAGGGGAGACUGGAAUUCUUGGUGUAGCAGUGAAAUGCGUAGAUAUCAAGAGGAACACCGGUGGCGAAAGCGAGUCUCUGGACAAUUCCUGACACUGAGGCACGAAAGCUAGGGGAGCAAACAGGAUUAGAUACCCUGGUAGUCCUAGCCGUAAACGGUGCGCAUUUGCUGUGAGAGGAAUCGACCCCUUUCGUGCGUAGCCACGCGUUAAAUGCGCGCCUGGGAAGUACGGUCGCAGAUAAACUCAAAGAA
rnacentral:rRNA from 1 species